rnacentral:rRNA from 1 species
UACGAAGGGGGCUAGCGUUGCUCGGAAUCACUGGGCGUAAAGCGCACGUAGGCGGCUUUUUAAGUCAGAGGUGAAAUCCUGGAGCUCAACUCCAGAACUGCCUUUGAUACUGGCGAUCUCGAGUCCGGGAGAGGUGAGUGGAACUGCGAGUGUAGAGGUGAAAUUCGUAGAUAUUCGCAAGAACACCAGUGGCGAAGGCGGCUCACUGGCCCGGUACUGACGCUGAGGUGCGAAAGCGUGGGGAGCAAACAGGG